UGGAAGGAGUCCUUAGGAUUAGUUUAAUAAUUUUUUUUUUUUGAAUAGUUAAGGACUCUAGUCAAAAUAGUGUGUCCAAUGGUGAUCCCCAAUCACUACAAAAAACUAUUGUUUAGCAUCAUUUAUUUGUAUUUUUCCAUUAGUUAUAAAUGAUGUAAAAUAAUUUUGCAUCAUUUAUAUAAAUGACUCUGAAAGUGGUGAUGCAAAUAAUUCACAUCAUCUAUCCUAUACUAAAAGGAGGAUAUCAAGCCCUCUAAGCCUGUCCACGUCCGAUUAGAAAAUCGUCCAAUCAGAGGGCUCUGUUUUGACAUGUCAUACAGGCUUUGGUUCACCAAUCAAACACAAGUUUUAUAACAUGUCAUUAGGUCAACACAAAUUUUAUUCUUCUGAAUCGAUUCCUUUUUUUCUCUCCAAAACGUAUCGUGGACUUUUUUUUAUCCUUUCCAAGAGUCCUCUCAUUGAUUCCUCUUCCUUUCUUCUCACCUUCUCUGCAAAACCUUUCCCGUAGCCAGGAGUCACCUUUUUUUUACUGCGGUUUCCGAAAAUUUUAUUCUCGAAAUCGACUUUGGUGUGUUUUUCUUAGAAAUCCUAUUUAUGGAUUUAUGAUUCAGACAAAAAGAAACAAGAGCUACAGAAGGUGAAUCACGAAAAGUUACAAAGGGAUUUACGAAAGUCAUGAUUUUGUGCACUUAUGAUUCAGCAGAGAGAGUCAGAAGAAUUGCUAAUAAGGUUUAAUGGGGAAAGUAAAACCUAAAAAAAUGAAGGUUUUCGUAAGGAUCUCUUGCACAACUUCUCUGAACCAUUUGGUUGUUUCCUCUGUGUGUUUUCCUCUUCCAAAGGUUUUUGUUUUUGUUAUCAUACAUUUUCACUUUUAAUAUUGGUAUUAUUUAGCAGGCUCAAAGUAUGAUAAUAUGAAACUGAGGAUACUUCAUGAUAAAACCCACCAAAAAGAGAAAAGAGGAGGAACAUAGCAGACAUGUAAAAAAUAAGACAUUUGAUAAAAGGUACAAAUGCUUCCCUUAAUUCAUCACCUACAGUCAGCAAAAUAUAUCAGGAUCGCAUUGCACUGUUUAUCAUCUUUUAUUGUUCCUGCUCAUGUCUUUUUUCUUUACAGGAAGAUAUUGCCCUUGGAGAACUGUAUACUUUUAGUAAACUCUAAGUAUGCUUUAAGAUUUUCAGGUCUUUUAGUCUGCAAAAGAUAGGAUCCCUACGUUUAACCUUUUAUUAACAAUCUUUUGUUAAGACCCUUGAUUUUUGUGGCAGCUUUCAGUAUGUUUCUGGAAGUAAGCACAAUUCCUCAUCAUUCUGAUGUAUUCUGGGUUAGCACAUCGGGGUACAUUGCAUCACAUACCGUGUUAUGAGGAGGAAGCUUCAUGGACUGGAAGGAAGCGAUGACGAGGUUUAUGACUUGGUAACGGCUUUGUUUUUGAGGGGUAUCAGAGGCUCAUAGAAGAAACCGUUGCUUGCGGCUGGAGGUGGAAUGUCUGUGGAAGUCUUCAACAGAGGAGUGAUUCCAUUGGCUUACAAUAUCAUUAAGAAGAAUAAAGUCAGAGAAACUAACACUUACUUGGAUGGAGUCUACCUUAUUUUCACUUGCUUAACUAAAACUUGAAUCCAUUACUCCAAUGGAGACUGCUCUUACUACUGCAAUAUAGUCCAUAAUGGCAUUAUCCGAUUUUCUUCCUUCAAGAUAAAGAAGAAGUACAACUGAAGAGACGAUGAACAUUGCAUGUGUGUAUGUGACCAAAUUUAGGAUUCUAGAUGUUCCUUCUGAAUUAAAGUAAACCUAUCUUUAUUUCGUAUGUGUCUUUGUAUCAUUUGAAAAGUGCAUGUUUUCUUUAUAUACAGAGUGUGAGAAACUGCAAUGCAAUUUUUAUUAUAUCAGCUAUUCAAAC